rnacentral:rRNA from 1 species
GCCAGUGGCAAUAGCACCUUGAAUGCACUUCCCAAUCGAUUACUGAAGUUGAGCAAUGUUGCACUUGGUUAGUAUUUGGUUGGGUGACCAUUUGGGCAGUCACGUACUUUUGGAU